UGAGGAACAUGACCUUCGGCGGGGGAGUAGCCGGCCCAACGGCCGGGUAAUACCGCGUACGACCACAUGGGGACAUCCCUGAGUGGUGAAAGCAGCAAUGCGCCGAUGGAGUGCCUCGCGGCCUAUCAGCUAGUUGGUGAGGUAACGGCUCACCAAGGCUUCGACGGGUAGCCGGCCUGAGAGGGCGAUCGGCCACACUGGGACUGAGAUACCGGCCCAGACUCCGUACGGGAGCAG
rnacentral:rRNA from 1 species